UAUUUUUCACCCUGGGAGGAGAAUCAUUUUCUGGCUCCCUUUGUGCAUCUUUUCACUUUUAUCCUUUUGUCUCAACUUCCCGCCUCUUCAGAAAUCCUCACCCUAUGUUUUCCACAGUUCAACUCCUCCUUCACCAGGGUAUGAUGGGUCAGAGUGGAAUGGAUGGCUGGUGGCUGGGUUCAUGAGUCAUACAAAUCCUGGAGCUGCUUUAAAUAACAGUGUAGCAGACCGCUGCUUUUACUCAGAUCUCAGGCGCAGGAGGUACAGCUGUGAAAAUUUCUCUCUGCUGACUAAAACCCCCAGGUUGGGAUGUUUCUGGCAGGAGAGGACUGCCCACCUAGGCACCUGCUUCUUUCUACACUUGGCAGUGGAACCCUUGAGCACCACAGUGUGACUUCAUCAUGCUCUUGGCUUUAAAGGAUUUGUUAGCUACACGUAUAUAAAUUACUCAGGCAUGAGAACUGGAGAAAUGCAUUUCCUGGGGAAACAGCCGUUUCAUCUACGCUGCUUGCAAUAUUCGUCAUGUCUUCAGUUUGUGAGUGGCUACCAGGAAAGGAAGUCAGACCCUUGGCCAUUAAAAAUAUUACAUGCUAGAUUUCUUCUUGAUGAGACAUUAAUAACAUGUUUAAUUAAUAACUUCUUUUAUUACUAUACACAGUAAGUAGUGAUCAAAAACAUUGCUUGUUGACUUGGGAGUGGUAAUUGUAUCUGGUUUAAAUUUAUAUAGUAUUUGAAAGUAUUCCCUUUUAAGUGGGGAAGUUGAGCCUGAAGAGCCAUUUAAAAUCCCCAUGUCUUAGCUAUGGGCUGCUUCUGAGUAAGGCAAGUGUGUCGCAGGUCAUGUGUCAUCACAUGUUGGUCAAGAGGUUCUGCUGUUUCCUUGAGCACAUACCCUGUCUCUGAUUCUAUCUGGUGGUUCUUAGUGUGGCAGGAUGCUUGGAUGCUGCUCUGGGGGUCUGCGGUCAUCCUGUCUAUGUGCUGAUGAGAUGUGCAGGAACGGCCACAGGCCUAUAUGCUUGCUUCUUAACUGGCUUGGUACCUGCUAUGCACUGGCUCCAUCAACCCUGUCACUUGCCUCAUGAGCAUUUGGGCUCUGGGGUGCUGUACCGGGUGCAGUAACAGUGGCAGAGCCAUGCAUGAGGGAGGGGAAGGGAAGGGGAGUGAGCUUUCCACCUCUGCUUAUUUUGUGGAAAGGACUCGGGCUGGAUUUUCCAUAUCUACACAGCACUGGCUAUGACUAUGAGGGUAAGAAAGCUGCAUGAGAGCCCUCCCAUAGCUUCAGCUUUUGACUUUACCUUGGGCUGCAAGCUUGAUCUUUCUGUUGGAGAACAGGUUUCAAGAUACCUCAGGUUACACUGUGUAGCUUUGGCUUUUCAAAGCAGCUAAGAGACAUCUGGAUAAUGAAAAGACAUUGGAUCUGGGCUCCACCACUCCUGUACUGUAGAGCUUUGGGUAUGAGGAUCAGUGUGAUUACCCCUAAGUUGGCUGAACUUUGAGAUCUAUAGAUUUCUAUGGGACAGUGCCUACUAUGGUACUAUAUUUUUAAAAAUUAGACCUGGAUUAUUAAAGCCUGCUUAUUCAUGUGUUAUCACUCUAAAGAUGCCUGUGGAUCUGUGAAGCUGUUUUUCUACUUUAGUGAGCUUGUUGUGGAUACUGAAGCUGCCUAGGUACAUGCUGAGUGAUGGGAGAAAUAACUGCUCAAUCUAGACUCUGGGUAGUGCCUUCUAUACACAUCAGUGUGGGCCAGCCUUGUGGGGUACAGUUAUCCAUGUAGCCUACCGGCCAAUGUGCCCAGGAAGAAAAGAAGAAGUCUGAAAGUGACUGGAAUCAAUGCCAGUCCUGGGGCUUCUGAGGGGAUUUUAUGGAUCAGGAUCCUGGGAUUCCUGGGGAGGCACAGAUCAAGUCGUGCUUAAAGCAUUGCUGAACUACUGGGGAAACCCCAGAUGUUCAGGGCUGGCUUCUGGGGCUCUACCACUUCCAGGGAACUCUCUGGGGAUUGGGGGCCAUGCAGGGCAGGGGGAGGAGACUUGACCAAGGAGCCUUUGUGCCCCUCCUCUCAGUCUAGUAAAUGAUUUCUGGAUGAGCCACCUGCAGGCAUUUGUGGACUAUUUCACUGAAAAUGAGAGAACAUUCAGUCCAAAUGAUGUGCGUUCCUUGUCCAUGUUGAAUUGUUCUGGUCCUUUCGCAUACACUGCUUCUCAAAUGUGUUGCCCUUGAUUGCUGUCUCCUGCUCUUUACUUAGAACUAGCCAUGUUUUCACCCUUGUGUAGAUUCUGUCAGUGUGGCGGGAUAUCCGAAGCCUUGGCCCACGUCUCCCACAUCCUCAUUAUUUUUUCUGGGUUUCUGAUUCUUCCUGGCUAUUCUUUCAGUACUUAUUUUUUAAACAGAAAAGUGUGAGAAAUACAGGCUUUAGGAGCAAAUUGUUUUAUGUUAUCACCAGUAGCUAAUCAAUUCUCUGCCAGAGGUAAUUGAACAAGAACAGGCCAGGGCAUGGCUGACCUGACAACCCUCUGGUAGGGAGCUAGACACCCCCUCCCCCCAGCUUGAGGGUGCUACACCUCUGAGAACUCAUUUGUGAUGUGUUGGGUGGGCAUCUGAAAUGCAAUGACUCUGUGGUGGAGGUGUGCCAGACAGAUGAGCCAAAUCCCAAGUCCAGAGUCCACUCCCUGCACCAGCAGGGUCUCCUGGGCGGGGCCCACUGCCCUGUGACCUGGAGGCCCUGAACUGAUUCUCUUUGCCUGUAACUGACUGUACAUCUCAAAGGAAGUGUGAGAGAUUCCUGAGUUUCUGUAACUCCUUGGGGGUGUUCUUCCUGACGUGCCACAAGAGAAGAGAUGCAGCUAAAGAAGUCAAUUUCCAUGUGCAAGCUCAGUGUCAGGCAGGGACGCACAGGCAUGCUCAGGGGUUUGUGCCCCGGGUCUCACAGACCACAGAGGAACUGGUUCAUUGCGGAUACGGAGGGAAUAAAUAAGUCUUGGGUUUGAGGUAUUCUUCUAAACACAACAUGAAUAAAAGAUCAAACAUAACAACUCCUUUGAAAUGAAAUCAAAUUAUAAUACAGAAAUAAUCACAAGAGGUGGAUAUGCAAGUGCUAUUUUCUAUGAUUUAAUUUUCUAGUGUUCCAUCUUAGGUCCUUAUAUCAUAGGGAGACUGGAAAGCUGACAGAAGGGGCAGACAUCCGACUCCAUGCAUGUUGUUGAACAGCUCUGCAUUUCUCAGAUUCCAUCUGUCUGUCCGAGCCAGUCAAAUACACUGCAGGAAGGAGUGUGGAUGGAGGACUCCCUUUGGGUCUAAAUUUUUUUGGCAGUUGCUCUUGAAGCUAUUGCAUUGUGGCAGCCACAGAAAUGUAGGACUCCAGAGCGUGAGAGACUGCAGAGAUUAUAAGUUCUUCCUCAAAAGAAUAAAGACUUUGGUGGCAAAGGACACUUUCUCUCCCCCCUGCAACAUGAAGAUUGUUCCUAAUGUUACAUAUGAAUUUUUCAAAUCAGUGUUUUAGUUCAUUAUUAAUUAAAAAGGUGCAUGUCUUUGCCUACAUUAUUGUCUCCAAGAGAUAAAUAAAAUGUUAUCUGUAGUCCUCUAGAAUUAAAGCUUUUGGUUAAAUAACUAAGUAGUAAGAGUGAAAAAAAAAUCCUGUAUACUGUAAUUUGACUUUUACUAAUGAGAAUGCUUAAAUGUUGCUAUUAAACACUGGCUGUGAGUUAUCUUAUGCUUGAUGCUGCUGUAAUUGUUCCUUAAAGAGCUGGCUAUCAAAUGCAUCUCAUAAUAAAAGCCCUAGCAUGAAUGCCAGCCAGCUUGCAAAGCCAAACCAAAGUUCAGAGUCUCUGUUAACACACCUACUACCAAACACAGUCUUUCGACUGUCCCUCCCUCCACCCUCACGUUCUGCGUGGACUCUGUCUGUACUUUGUAAUUUGAAUCGAUUUUCAAAUGAAAAUAAAAUUUGUUCUUUGAAGUG